rnacentral:rRNA from 1 species
GGACGAUGCUGUGUGGUCCGAGCAGCAGUAAAGAUUUUGUGCAAUAUACGAAAGUAAGACACAGAGAGGGCACCUUUUCUAGUCCGUCAAAUUAAGUGCCAGCAGACGCGGUGAAACUUAAGGGCUAGUCUUAUAGGCAAAAGCGUAAAGGGUGUGAUAGGCCGCCUUAUUUAAGAGAGUAAAUGGAAUUUUUCUGUAAUGGUGGUAUAUGUAAAUAGGAAAAAGAACUUUAGACGUGAAGACUAUUUACUUCUAAGAUUAUAAUGUGUUGGCUAAAACACGAGAGUGUGGGGAGCAAACAGGAUUAGGUACCCUGGUAGUCCAUACUGUAAAUAAUGAAAAAGAUGUGAAGCAAUUCUAAAAGGUAAGAACUUUUCCGCUUGAGUAGUACGAUCGCAAGAUUAAAAUUCAAAAAACUUGGCUGUUCACUGUUUUGAUUAGAGGAGCGUGUCGUUUAAUUCGAUAGUCCGCGAGAGACCUUACCCAAACUUGAAUCCCUCAUUGACAGGUAUUGCAUGGCCGUCGUCAAUUUGUGUAUUAAACAUAAAACAAAUUCAACCCAGUGGUUUGUCUAUUGGAUGAAGUCAGGUCUUAUUGUCCUAAUGUUUGGGGAUUAGAUGCGCUACAUUUUUUUAUACAAUGGGAAACUUUGAAUGUGAAACCCAAAAAUAAGAGUUCGGAAGGUGUCUGGAAUAUAACGGAAAGUUGGAUUUAAUAGUAAUUGAAAAGUAGAGCGUUUCAAUGAAAUUUAUUCAGUGUUAGUACAAAUUGCCCGUCGCCUUUGCUUAGAAAGGUUGUUUGGUUGCCCCUCAAGAGGGUUCCUAAUAUCUUCGAGGUAGAGUAAGUCGUACUUAGAAGGGGGGGGAGCAGGCCGACAAAAAAA